rnacentral:lncRNA from 1 species
CAAUUGAUUGUUUGGAAGUGAAAAGAUCACAGAUUGAAGCAUGAAAAUAGUUCUUCCACAAGAAAGGUUAUGAAUAUAGAUGAUAUGGAUUCUACAAACUCUACAGAGAGAAGACAGUGCUUAGCAAACAGUGCUUGUCAUAUGCAGAGGGACCAGAGGCUGCCCAUUGAUCUUGGCUUCUUCUCCACCAGAUGGGCAUUACAUUGUCACCAGUCCUAGUCUACUAUGGAAGGUCUUCCAACUGCCUGCCUACAGUUAUGUUUCUUUCCUUCUUUAAUCUAUAUUUUUAUUAAGUUUAUUGGUACAUAAAUGCCGAACAGUUUCUCUGGUGUGAGAAACUGAAAGUGUAAAAAAGGGUUAUAAUUUGAAUACAACAGAUCAUCUAACUUGUCUGGAAGAUUAACAUCCAUACAGAAUUUCACUACUUACCAAAUAUGUAUAUAUUCAUAUUCAGUAAGCUCCUUUUUGACAGGAGAAUUCAUGCCACUAAUAUGACACCUUAAAAUAACUUAUUUUUAAAUAUUUU